GGAAAACAUCUGCUGCAAAGAAAUACAGAAGGUUGUAAAACGAAUGAUGGAGGUUCCAGACCCUCCUAAAUGUAUGGUUGAGCAUCCAGGUUUUGAACCAAACUGCUUAAAUCCGUAUACUUUGCAAAAUAUCAAUAAUAUUUACAGAGCCGACUAUGGACCAGUGAGACGCAGAAAUGAAGAGGAGCGUUUCCGUUAUCUGGCCUAUCGCAGCUUUGUCAGCUGGUGCUGGGGCUACCUAGGACAUAGUGUGAGGGUUGUCAUCCCCUCAUGU